ACGUGGGACUCGAACCCACGAACCCCGAGAUCAUGACCUGAGCCGAAGUCGGAUGCUUCGCCGACUGAGGCGCUUGGACAUGCUGCCUCUAAAAACUUGCUACACGAAAAGAAGACAUGAAAUAUCUUUAUCUACACAGGUGGAGCAUUUCCUGACAUUUGCAGUACAGAGAAUCCACGCGAGGUGUGAAAGGGCAGAAGGCUGGCAGUAAAGAACAAGGGAGCACUGGGGCAAAUGGAAGAUCUGGAAGCUACUGAAAAAGACCUCUAAUGGCGUAGCCUCCAUGGAAGAGUACCGAAGACUAACACUGCUAAGAAGGUUACUGCUUUAAAACGCCGGCUGUUCUGCCUUCCCCACAAACCCAAACUAGGAAGAUCAG